ncrna:unclassified sequences RAGATH-18 RNA
CCUUUGGAGUAUUAAGAACCCUUGAGUAGUUCUUUUUAGAAUGAAAAAGAAUACGAUGAAUUAGGAA